UACAAUUAGAAUUCAGCGUUUAUUCUGGGAAAAAAUUAUCUAAAAAAAAUAUGUAAAAAACCUGGAAUUAAUAAACAAAGAUUAAAAAAAAAAAAACGAGUAGAAAUCCCGGGAAAAGUGGGAAAAUCCACGUUUCCCCAUUUUUCAUUGGCUGGCCCUAAGGAAUGUCUCGAUUUGACCUCUAUGUAGCAGCAAUUGAGGGCCUUGAAGUUAAAGUAAAAAGGACGAUAUUUAAAUUAUGACGGUGCCUUAGGAUUAUUGAAGUCCGACCUAUGAUGUUUGUACCGUUAGUGGCCGUCCCGACCGAGGGAUGGAAUUCAGCCCGUAUCAGAUAACGGGACGUAACAGAAAUUGUUAAGAAAAUUCGAAUUUUACAUAAGAAAGACUCAGCAGAACUCUCAAUUGCUAUCGAUUUCAUAAUUUUAUCGUAUGGGCAUGUAAUACUUUCAUUCGGAUAUCGAAAAUUCUGUCACGUAGUAAACAGGUGACAUCUUCAAUUUGUUUGCUCGAGUGCAUCGAAAUUUUAUUUGUCGUUUUCUACUCCAUUUUAUAAGCGCUCAACUACGGAAGAAGACAACACCUGUAAACCAACUACACGCAACAUAUAAACAACUAAAGCUGUCGAGAGUUGUGAAUAUCAUGUUGUCGAUUUCAUCUAACUAUAAUGGAAAAGUACAUAUUUAAUACGUCGUAUUACUGGAGAUCAAGAUUUACUUUGCGAUUUUUGCGUUCUUCUGCUUCCGUGCAUUUUGAGGGCGGAUAUUAGAUUCGUAGCAUAGUAUACAUAGCGGAGUGACCAACGAAGAGUCUAUUUACAGAAUGGCAAAGGUAAUCAGAUUAUUUCUGAUCUGAAAAAUACGACAGACUGGAUUCAUGAUUGAAAUUUUCUAUUUCGAAUCGUUCGAUUAUUCGUUUUGUAUUAUCGAUUAGUUUUUUUUAUUAACUGAUGCGUAUUGACACCUGUAUAGUCCAUUUUUAUUGCUUUUCUCUGGCUAUUUUAUAAUUUAAAAACUGCAGUCAACUGUUAUGAACGCUGGUCAUUUAUGUCGGUAUGAAUUGAUUAACCGUGAUACAUUAAAAUUUUUAUGAAAAAGAUUAAAUUUUUGGAUUGAAGCAAUCGAGAAUCGUAUAGUAUUAUCAUACAUUAUUUUUCUCAUAAUAACAAUACCUUUUAUAAUAAUGAUGUUCUUUUUUGUAAUUAUAUUACUAAUAUCUUUAUUUGGUUUUCCCUUCGAGGUAACAUUAAAGUGAAAUUACAGUGCCACGAUUUCUUUAGGACAAUCGAAAUUCAUAUUAUAAAAUAGCGUAAGAAAGUUGAUUAAAUGUACCGAUUUAAUUUAAUAAAUUAGUUACGACACGCGAUACAUGUAUAUAAAUAAACAAAAAGUUCACUCGUCUGUAUGUAUUUAUAACGAAGAGAAGAAAAUGUUAAAAAAAAUUGUAAAUUUGUAUCGUUAUAAACAGGUAAGAUGGUAAUAUAAAAAGGGACUGAAAGAGUCCAAAAUAAAGAGCAAAGAUGAAACAAAAGAAAAAAAUAAUAAAAUAAAAUGGCAAGUACGUGAAAUAAAUUCUCCUUUCUCUGGCGAUUUCAGCAA